GGAGCCUCUCCGCCCGGCAGCCACCCCAUCUGGGAAGUCAGUUACCAAAAGGCAAAGAAAAACCUCCUGCAGUGUGAUUGCUUCUCCUAUCAGAGUCCCAUCUCGAAAACCUGAAAAUCAAACCUGAUAAAUGAUGUAGACAUAUCAAGAAAAGCCAAGAGGACAGAAUCAAGCUAUACUGGAGGAAAACGUUGCUUCUCUAGAAUUUUAAAAUAAAUAUUUCAGCAUCAGACCAUGACAGCAGUUAAGGCAAGAGGGAAAAAAAAGAUACAAGAACUGACAAAGUUGAAGGAGAUAGUUUCAUUUCAGGUUCCUUCAAGGGGAGACAAGCUGACAGCAACAAAACACAAGAAAGCUGCACUUUGGAGAUAUAGAUCUGAGAAGUAUUCAAAAAGUAACAGAUUAUAGAGUCAAAAUCAAAACCUCUCAUCCAAUCAAUAUUUUAAGAAAACCUUGUUCUAACCCAGGGGACUAAUCUAUAUCUCUCUCCCCUAGUUACUGGAUCCUUUCUACCCUGUUUCAUAAACAACCUAAGUCUAUAAUUUGAAUUAACCUUUAGAUAACUUCUGAGUUAAACAAAAUUAUUUCUUUAAUCAAUAAGAACACAUCUUCUUUGGCACAUUGUACAUGGAAUCAUACAAUUUGCUGGAAUUCUUAUUCUUAGUAAUCCUAAAUUUUAAUGGAAACCUAGGAAGCAAGAAAUCCUGGGCUGUCUAUCAGAUAUUAACAUUUUAUAGAUGAGAAACAUGAAUGUUCUCAGGCCCAGAAAACUCAAGUUGUUUUGGGACCUCAAGAAAAGAGGAAUUCACCCAAUUCAUACAGGUAUCUGCAAGCACAGAUCAAUUAUUGGUUGUGCUCGAGAGGCCUUUAAAAAUCAAAUCUGAGAUUCCUUAUGAAAAGUUCCAGCAAAGCCAAUUUAAAAAAGCCUAUAUGAACAAUAAUUCUUGCUUCAGUUUAUGCAAAUAAUCAGGCAAACUAUAAUAAGAUUAAAACAGAUUUUGCAAAUAAAUUGGUCCUACUGUGAUUUGCCUUUCAUGGAAAUGGGGAGCUGGAGAGAGAAACAUUAUGUUUUGGAAGAAAACUGCAGUACACCUGUUAUUAGAUUAAUCUUUGACCUAUGGCAACCUGGUCAUCCAUGGUAUGGAGAUACAUCUGUGCUGUGCUGCAUUCAGUUAUUAAAAGUAUAAGUUACCAGUGGAAUUUAGAUAUGGAUUCAUCACCUCAGAAGUUGGUUCACUGGAUGCAUAAGGAAAUAAAAACUAAUUUUUAAAAAA
rnacentral:lncRNA from 1 species